UGCGAAGGGGGCUAGCGUUGCUCGGAAUCACUGGGCGUAAAGGGUGCGUAGGCGGGUCUUUAAGUCAGGGGGGAAAUCCUGGAGCUCAACUCCAGAACUGCCCUUGAUACUGAGGAUCUUGAGUUCGGGAGAGGUGAGUGGAACUGCGAGUGUAGAGGUGAAAUUCGUAGAUAUUCGCAAGAACACCAGUGGCGAAGGCGGCUCACUGGCCCGAUACUGACGCUGAGGCACGAAAGCGUGGGGAGCAAACAGG
rnacentral:rRNA from 1 species